rnacentral:rRNA from 1 species
UAGGGAAUCUUCUGCAAUGGACGAAAGUCUGACCGAGCAACGCCGCGUGAGUGAAGAAGGUUUUCGGAUCGUAAAACUCUCUUGUUAGAGAAGAACAAGGACGUUAGUAACUGAACGUCCCCUGACGGUAUCUAACCAGAAAGCCCCGGCUAACUACGUGCCAGCAGCCGCGGUAAUACGUAGGUGGCAAGCGUUGUCCGGAUUUAUUGGGCGUAAAGCGUGCGCAGGCGGUUUCUUACGUCUGAUGUGAAAGCCCCCGACUCAACCGGGGAGGGUCAUAGGAAAAUGGGAGAGUGGAGUGCAGGAGAGGAGAGUGGAAUUCCAGGUGUAGCGGUGAAAUGCGUAGAUAUAUGGAGGAACAGGAGUGGCGAAGGCGGCUCUCUGGUCUGUAACUGACGCUGAGGAUCGAAAGCGUGGGAAGCAAACAGG